rnacentral:sRNA from 1 species
GAUGGGCAUGGUGGUGCAUGCCUGUAAUCCCAGUGGUUUUGGAGACUGAGGCAGGAGGAUCAUGAGUUCAAUGGCGAGGUACUAAGCAAUUCAGUGAGACUCUGUUUCUA